UAAACUAGGAUUAGAUACCCUAUUAUUAAAAAAUUAAAUAUAUAAUACUAAAAUAGUAAAUAAUUUAUUGAAACUUAAAUAAAUUGGCGGUAUUUUAGUUUAUUCAGAGGAAUCUGUUUAUUUAUUGAUAGUCCACGAAUAAAUUUACUUAAUUUAUUAUUUUGUACAUCAUUGUUAAAAAAAUAUUUUUUAAUAAAAAUAAUAUUUAAAAAUUUUAAAAUAAAACUAAAUCAGAUCAAGAUGCAGAUUAUUAUAAAGAAUAAAAUGGAAUACAAUAAAUUUAUUUAUUAAUGAAUAUUAAAUUGUAAUAAUUAAUUGAAGGUGGAUUCGAAUGUAAUUUUAUUUAAACUAAUAUAAUGAUUAAUGAUUAAAAUAUGUACAUAUGCCCGUCGCUUCAAAUUUUUUUUUUUAAAUUAUAUUUA
rnacentral:rRNA from 1 species